rnacentral:rRNA from 1 species
UACGUAGGGAGCAAGCGUUGUCCGGAAUCAUUGGGCGUAAAGCGCGCGUAGGCGGCCCUGUAAGUCCGUUGUGAAAGUCAAAGGCUCAACCUUUGAAAGCCGAUGGAUACUGCAGGGCUAGAGUCCGGAAGAGGCGAGUGGAAUUCCUGGUGUAGUGGUGGAAUGCGCAGAUAUCAGGAGGAACACCAAUAGCGAAGGCAGCUCGCUGGGACGGUACUGACGCUAAGGCGCGAAAGCGUGGGGAGCAAACAGG